GGGUGAUAAAGGCAAACCCGUUGAAAAGCGGAGACGUAAAGCCAUGGGGUCUAAGGUGUGUGAUGCAUAUGACAGCCCGGCUGCCGCC
rnacentral:ncRNA from 1 species